rnacentral:rRNA from 1 species
GACGAACGCUGGCGGCGUGCUUAACACAUGCAAGUCGAACGGAAAGGCCCUGCUUUUGUGGGGUUCUCGAGUGGCGAACGGGUGAGUAACACGUGAGUAACCUGCCCUUGACUUUGGGAUAACUUCAGGAAACUGGGGCUAAUACCGUAUAGGAUCUCCUGCUGCAUGGUGGGGGUUGGAAAGUUUCGGCGGUUGGGGAUGGACUCGCGGCUUAUCAGCUUGUUGGUGGGGUAGUGGCUUACCAAGGCUUUGACGGGUAGCCGGCCUGAGAGGGUGACCGGCCACAUUGGGACUGAGAUACGGCCCAGACUCCUACGGGAGGCAGCAGUGGGGAAUAUUGCACAAUGGGAGGAAGCCUGAUGCAGCAACGCCGCGUGCGGGAUGACGGCCUGCGGGUUGUAAACAGCUUUCGCCUGUGACGAAGCGUGAGUGACGGUAAUGGGUAAAGAAGCACCGGCUAACUACGUG